UGGUUACUUAUUUGUGCCUCUCUGUUGUGUUGUGGUUAUGUUCAACUCCAUCACUAUUUUUUGCUGCAUCUUGUUUUUUAAUUAAAGCAGCCCUGACAUGUUUUAUUAAUUAUCCAAACAUUUUGGUCUUUGGACUAUGCAGCAAAGCUAUUUAAACAAUGAAAGAAAUUUUUUUUCCAAUGUUUGUCACUUCUAAAUUCUAAUACAAUUGUGUUUCUGUUAUAGCAGGAGUAUAUUUGAUAACAGAUGGUAAAACUGCAAAACUAUCUCCGCUUCAUUAGUGCCCCUGGCAAGUCUUCCUAUGCGGGGGCCUGCACAGAGAUCCUGAAAUCAUUGAGCAUGGCUCACCCUGGAGUCCAAUGCAUGAGGGCAGCAUAUGGUUAUUUCCUACCAGGAACUGGCUUCCAACAAUGUCAGAAACUCGUCCUUCAAAAGUCACCCACUGAGGAAAGCAGAUUCUUCUGCAGGAUGUGAAGGGGAAACAUGAGGGAA